rnacentral:rRNA from 1 species
CGGGACACGUGGUAUCCUGUCUGAAUAUGGGGGGACCAUCCUCCAAGGCUAAAUACUCCUGACUGACCGAUAGUGAACCAGUACCGUGAGGGAAAGGCGAAAAGAACCCCGGCGAGGGGAGUGAAAAAGAACCUGAAACCGUGUACGUACAAGCAGUGGGAGCACGCUUAGGCGUGUGACUGCGUACCUUUUGUAUAAUGGGUCAGCGACUUAUAUUCUGUAGCAAGGUUAACCGAAUAGGGGAGCCGAAGGGAAACCGAGUCUUAACUGGGCGUUAAGUUGCAGGGUAUAGACCCGAAACCCGGUGAUCUAGCCAUGGGCAGGUUGAAGGUUGGGUAACACUAACUGGAGGACCGAACCGACUAAUGUUGAAAAAUUAGCGGAUGACUUGUGGCUGGGGGUGAAAGGCCAAUCAAACCGGGAGAUAGCUGGUUCUCCCCGAAAGCUAUUUAGGUAGCGC